rnacentral:ribozyme from 1 species
GUAGUACAGCAACAGCUGAACUGUAUAUAAUAGUGCUGUCUCGAGCUCCUGGGUCUGGC